rnacentral:rRNA from 1 species
AAAUUGAAGAGUUUGAUCAUGGCUCAGAUUGAACGCUGGCGGCAGGCCUAACACAUGCAAGUCGAGCGGUAGCACAGAGAGCUUGCUCUCGGGUGACGAGCGGCGGACGGGUGAGUAAUGUCUGGGAAACUGCCUGAUGGAGGGGAUAACUACUGGAAACGGUAGCUAAUACCGCAUAAUGUNNNNNNNNNNNNNNUGUGCUCUUCCGGCCUCAUGCCAUCAGAUGUGCCCAGAUGGGAUUAGCUAGUAGGUGGGGUAACGGCUCACCUAGGCGACGAUCCCUAGCUGGUCUGAGAGGAUGACCAGCCACACUGGAACUGAGACACGGUCCAGACUCCUACGGGAGGCAGCAGUGGGGAAUAUUGCACAAUGGGCGCAAGCCUGAUGCAGCCAUGCCGCGUGUGUGAAGAAGGCCUUCGGGUUGUAAAGCACUUUCAGCGGGGAGGAAGGCGUUAAGGUUAAUAACCUUGGCGAUUGACGUUACCCGCAGAAGAAGCACCGGCUAACUCCGUGCCAGCAGCCGCGGUAAUACGGAGGGUGCAAGCGUUAAUCGGAAUUACUGGGCGUAAAGCGCACGCAGGCGGUCUGUCAAGUCGGAUGUGAAAUCCCCGGGCUCAACCUGGGAACUGCAUUCGAAACUGGCAGGCUAGAGUCUUGUAGAGGGGGGUAGAAUUCCAGGUGUAGCGGUGAAAUGCGUAGAGAUCUGGAGGAAUACCGGUGGCGAAGGCGGCCCCCUGGACAAAGACUGACGCUCAGGUGCGAAAGCGUGGGGAGCAAACAGGAUUAGAUACCCUGGUAGUCCACGCCGUAAACGAUGUCGAUUUGGAGGUUGUGCCCUUGAGGCGUGGCUUCCGGAGCUAACGCGUUAAAUCGACCGCCUGGGGAGUACGGCCGCAAGGUUAAAACUCAAAUGAAUUGACGGGGGCCCGCACAAGCGGUGGAGCAUGUGGUUUAAUUCGAUGCAACGCGAAGAACCUUACCUGGUCUUGACAUCCACAGAACUUUCCAGAGAUGGAUUGGUGCCUUCGGGAACUGUGAGACAGGUGCUGCAUGGCUGUCGUCAGCUCGUGUUGUGAAAUGUUGGGUUAAGUCCCGCAACGAGCGCAACCCUUAUCCUUUGUUGCCAGCNGAUCGGCCGGGAACUCAAAGGAGACUGCCAGUGAUAAACUGGAGGAAGGUGGGGAUGACGUCAAGUCAUCAUGGCCCUUACGACCAGGGCUACACACGUGCUACAAUGGCAUAUACAAAGAGAAGCGACCUCGCGAGAGCAAGCGGACCUCAUAAAGUAUGUCGUAGUCCGGAUUGGAGUCUGCAACUCGACUCCAUGAAGUCGGAAUCGCUAGUAAUCGUAGAUCAGAAUGCUACGGUGAAUACGUUCCCGGGCCUUGUACACACCGCCCGUCACACCAUGGGAGUGGGUUGCAAAAGAAGUAGGUAGCUUAACCUUCGGGAGGGCGCUUACCACUUUGUGAUUCAUGACUGGGGUGAAGUCGUAACAAGGUAACCGUAGGGGAACCUGCGGUUGGAUCACCUCCUUACCUUAAAGAA